UACAGUGAUUAUAGCAACAGGGAUCACCUGAUACCAUUCCGAACUCAGUAGUUAAGCCUGUUAGUGCCGACGAUAGCAGAAAUGUGAAAAUAGGGAGUUGCUGUUU
rnacentral:rRNA from 1 species